rnacentral:rRNA from 1 species
UACGGGGGGGGCAAGCGGUUGUUCGGAAUUACGUGGGCGUAAAGGGCGCAGUAGGCGGCCUGUUAAGUCGAACGUGAAAUCCCCGGGCUCAACCCGGGAACUGCGUCCGAUACUGGCAGGCUUGAAUUCGGGAGAGGGAUGUGGAAUUCCAGGUGUAGCGGUGAAAUGACGUAGAUAUCUGGAGGAACACCGGUGGCGAAGGCGGCAUCCUGGACCGAUAUUGACGCUGAUGCGCGAAA